ACCCGCUGGACUUAAGCAUAUCACUAAGCGGAGGAAAAGAAACUAACUAGGAUUCCCCCAGUAACUGCGAGUGAAGAGGGAAGAGCUCAUCAUUGGAAUCUGGCAGCGUUGCGCUGUCCGAGUUGUAGAUGAGAAGAGUAGGUCAUCUGGACUGCGUGGUGUCCAAGUACAAUAGGCCGUCAGUGGGACAUCAUAGAGGGUGACAAUCCCGUCCUUGACAACCAACGUACGAGUCCAUUACGAUGCCUAUCUCAGAGAGUCGAGCAGUUUGGGAUUUGCUGCUUAAACAUGGGAGGUAGAUUCCUUCUAAAGCUAAAUACAGGCAAGAGACCGAUAGAGAACAAGUACCGCAAGGGAAAGAUGAAAUAGAACUCUGUGAAGGGAGUCAAAAAGACGUGAAAUUGUUGCGAGAGAAGCGAUUCAAGUCAGCGUAGCUAGGCCCAUCAAGCUUCUUGCUUUGGACUAGCUUUGCCAGCGGUCUUGUCCUUUUAGAGACUUGACUUUUGACGUGCCCUGUCCGGUCUAACGGGCAGGCCCUUCGGGGCCAGUGGCAUGGCUGGUGGAAUGGCUUGCAAUCGACCCGUCUUGAAACACGGACCAAGGAGUCUAACAUGUGUGCGAGUAUAAGGGUGGCAAACCCGUAUGCGCAAAGAAAGUGAUAGCCUUUUAUGGCUGAGAAUGGCCUGAUGACCAGACAAGCAAUAUUAUGUUCCUCGUACGGUCAUUGCCCAAGUCCCGUGGUCAGAUCCCAUGGACAUGGAGUUAGAGCAUACAUGCUAGGACCCGAAAGAUGGUGAACUAUGCCUGGACAAAGCGAAGCCAAAGGAAACUCUGGUGGAGGCUUGUAGCGAUUCUGACGUGCAAAUCGAUCGUCUGAUCUGGGUAUAGGGGCGAAAGACUAAUCGAACCAU
rnacentral:rRNA from 1 species